rnacentral:lncRNA from 1 species
CUGGGCCACCUGGCCGGCCCCUCAUUAUUUCUUAAUAAGAUAAACUAUACUCACAAUGCUGAAUGCCAGAGGAAUUAAGAAUACAAUUGUCGAUACUAAACUUCCAUUGUCACGGACAAAUCUUCUUUACAGAGUUUAUAAAUACAUUUCGAAAAUCUCACUGUCAGUACUUUUUUUUUCCAACUCUUUCAAUAAAGCCUAGAGUUAAAAAAAGAAAAAAAAAAAAGGAUGGCGCCCUCCGGUGGGGGCGCGGCACAAGGAGAGCACGAAGAUGGCGUCUACCGGCCUCGUCCGCAGAGCAGGAGGCCUCCAGAUACUUGCCAGACCAGGUGCCUGCCCCUCAGGCCAAGGCUCCAAGACCAGGAAAUGAGCCUCUUUCAGUCUGGGCGCCUCUCCUGGCCGAUUCUGCACUGGGCCCGGGAGCAGGCUCCUGGAUUUAUGAAGUUGGAGUCGGUGUUCAGAGUCCACAUUUUAUGAUGUCGAGAGUUGGCGUUGUUUCGUCUUUCCCCAUGACCUGUUUUAACGGUGCCCAGUUGCAACUUGUCACAAAGAAGUCUUCCUCCCACAGAGGCCAGGGAUACGAUGAAGUCACACGCAGGGAGCACCCGAGUAAGAAUUGCUCAGAAGCAAAUAUGGUUCUGAAGUGUUCCCAUUAGUCCUCAUGGGCAUGCUUAUGGGCUAAUAUAGCCCUCGAAAUCACCUUCUGGCAUUGAAAAUUCUGCCUUGGGGCUUCUAAAGCACUGGAAAGUCUGCAGGGACCCCUCUCCUCCAGGCCAGUUGAAUCGAUUCCCUGGAUCUUUAGAGGAAUAAGAAACGCACCCUGACAGUAAUUCCCUGCAUUGG